CUACGGGAGGCUGCAGUGGGGAAUAUUGGACAAUGGGCGAAAGCCUGAUCCAGCAAUACCGCGUGAAUGAUGAAGGCCUUAGGGUUGUAAAGUUCUUUUAGUUGGAAAGAUAAUGGCGGUACCAACAGAAAAAGCCCCGGCUAACUCCGUGCCAGCAGCCGCGGUAAGACGGAGGGGGCUAGCGUUGUUCGGAAUUACUGGGCGUAAAGGGCGCGUAGGCGGAUUAGUAAGUUGGGAGUGAAAGCCCGGGGCUUAACCUCGGAACUGCUUUCAAAACUGCUAGUCUUGAGUGAAGUAGGGGAUGAUGGAAUUCCUAGUGUAGAGGUGAAAUUCUUAGAUAUUAGGAGGAACACCGGUGGCGAAGGCGGUCAUCUGGACUUCAACUGACGCUGAGGCGCGAAAGCGUGGGGAGCAAACAGGAUUAGAUACCCUCGUAGUC
rnacentral:rRNA from 1 species